CCAAUAGCGUAUAUUAAAGUUGUUGCAGUUAAAAAGCUCGUAGUUGAACUUCGGGGUUCACCCAUUGGUCAGGCUUAAUUGUCUGUACUGGUGAGAUGAGUCUCUACCUUCUGAGGAACUUUCAUGCCAUUUAUUUGGUGUGGUUGGAAAUCAGGACUGUUACUUUGAAAAAAUUAGAGUGUUUAAAGCAGGCUAACGUCUGAAUACAUUAGCAUGGAAUAAUGAAAUAGGACGGAUUGAUUCUAUUUCGUUGGUUUCUAGGGUCACCGUAAUGAUUAAUAGGGAUAGUUGGGGGCAUUAGUAUUCAAUUGUCAGAGGUGAAAUUCUUGGAUUUAUUGAAGACUAACUACUGCGGAAGCAUUUGCCAAGGAUGUUUUCAUUAAUCAAGAACGAAAGUUAGGGGAUCGAAGACGAUCAGAUACCGUCGUAGUCUUAACCAUAAACUAUGCCGACUAGGGAUCGGACGCAGUUAAUUUUAUAAUGACGUGUUCGGCACCUUACG
rnacentral:rRNA from 1 species